rnacentral:rRNA from 1 species
CAGAGGGGGCAAGCGUUGUUCGGAAUUACUGGGCGUAAAGGGCGCGUAGGCGGCCUUCUAAGUCGGACGUGAAAUCCCCGGGCUCAACCCGGGAACUGCGUCCGAGACUGGAAGGCUCGAAUCCGGGAGAGGGAUGUGGAAUUCCAGGUGUAGCGGUGAAAUGCGUAGAUAUCUGGAGGAACACCGGUGGCGAAGGCGGCAUCCUGGACCGGUAUUGACGCUGAGGCGCGAAAGCCAGGGGAGCAAACGGGAUUAGAUACCCCGGUAGUCCUGGCCCUAAACGAUGAAUGCCUGGUGUGGCGGGUAUCGAUCCCUGCCGUGCCGAAGCUAACGCAUUAAGCAUUCCGCCUGGGGAGUACGGUCGCAAGGCUG